CCUACGGGAGGCAGCAGUAGGGAAUUUUCCACAAUGGGCGAAAGCCUGAUGGAGCAAUACCGCGUGCAGGAUGAAGGCCUUCGGGUCGUAAACUGCUUUUAUGUGCGAAGAAUUUGACGGUAACACAUGAAUAAGGAUCGGCUAACUACGUGCCAGCAGCCGCGGUCAUACGUAGGAUCCAAGCGUUAUCCGGAAUUACUGGGCGUAAAGAGUUGCGUAGGUGGCAUUAUAAGUGGAGCGUGAAAGCGUGCGGCUCAACCGCAUUAUUGCGUUCCAAACUGUGAAGCUUGAGUAUGGGAGAGGUAGAUGGAAUUUCUAGUGUAGGAGUGAAAUCCGUAGAUAUUAGAAGGAACACCGAUGGCGUAGGCAGUCUACUGGCCCAUUACUGACACUAAGGCACGAAAGCGUGGGGAGCAAACGGGAUUAGAUACCCCGGUAGUCCACGCUGUAAACUAUGGAUGCUAGCUGUGACACACAUCGACCUGUGUCGUAGCGAAGUUAACGCGUUAAGCAUCCCGCCUGGGGAAGUACGGUCGCAAGAUUAAAACUCAAAAGGAAUUGACGGCUGAGACGNGCGAGACGACGACGAGGAGAG
rnacentral:rRNA from 1 species